ensembl:lncRNA
UCAUCUAAAGGUUAUCUGAUUCUAAAGAGCUGUAAUUGCACUGGAAAGCUUAUUAGCUGCUAUAGAGCUCAGAAAAAGGACAGUCUUGUGUUGCUUCAUGUGCCGUUCUGCUCAGGCACAAUGCAAGCCAGUGACACGAGCAGACUUUUAGCUUUAGCUCUUAGCUUCACACGCUUUAGCCUGACUACUGAUAAAGUUAUGGAGUCCGGCAUUAAUGAACAGCUAGUUAGACUUAAAUUAACAGAAGAGAUUCUCAUCGUGGAGUCAGUUAAACUUAAACAGAUGAACUAACUGGAUAAAUAAGUCCGCCUCCACCUCCUCCUUCAUCGACUCUUACAGCUGAUGACUUUGCAGUUUUCUUCACAAAUAAGACAAGAACCAUCAGUGACCAAUUCACCACACCGCAGACUGAUGAUACACACUCUCUCUCCUCCUUCUCACCACUCUCAGAGACGGACGUUUCCAAACUUCUGUCCAGUCAUCCUACUACUUGUCCACUUGAUCCUAUCCCCACUCACCUCCUUCAGGCCAUUUCUUCUUCAGUCAUACCUUCACUUACUCACAUUAUCAACACCUCUCUUCACUCUGGUACAGUUCCCUCAGCAUAUAAGCAGGCUCAGGUAAGCCCACUGCUUAAGAGACCAUCUCUAAAUCCAGCACUUCUAGAAAACUACACACCGGUAUCCCUUCUUCCAUUCAUUGCAAAGACAUUUGAGCGAGUUGUGUUCAACCAGCUCUCUAUGUUUCUUGUACAGAACAACCUCCUGGACACUCAACUGAGACUGCCCUGCUCUCGGUUACUGAAGCCCUGCGACUGGCAAGAGCAGCUUCCAAAUCCUCAAUACUCAUCUUGCUGGACCUGUCUGCUGCUUUUGACACUGUUAAUUACCAGAUUCUCCUGUCCACCCUCAGAAAGAUGAAAAAUCUCAGGAACCGCACUCCAGUGGUUUAAGUCCUACCUCUCAGAUAGAUCCUUCAGGGUGUCUUGGAGGGGUGAAGUUUCUAAGUCACAACAACUUGCUACUGGGGUUCCUCAAGGCUCAGUACUUGGACCACUUCUCUUCUCCAUCUACAUGACGUCAUUAGGAUCUGUCAUUCAGAAGCAUGGCUUUUCUUAUCACUGCUACGCUGAUGACACUCAACUCUACUUCUCAUUCCACCCAGAUGAUCCGACGGUAGUUGCUCGCAUUACAGCCUGCCUGUCUGAGUAACAUUUCUAGCUGGAUGAAUGACCAUCACCUUCAGCUCAACCUUACUAAGACUGAACUGCUGGUGGUUCCAGCUAACCCAUCGUUAAAUCACAACUACUCGAUACAGCUGGGUUCAUCAACCAUAACUCCUUCCAGGACAGCCAGAAACCUAGGAGUUGUGAUGGAUCAUCAGUUAAGCUUCACAGACCAUAUUGCUACAACGACCGGUCCUGCAGAUUUGCCUUAUACAACAUUAGGAAGAUUAGACUCUUCCUGUCAGAGCAAGCCACACAACUUCUUGUCCAGGCUCUUGUUCUCUCCAGACUGGACUAUUGUAAUGCUCUCCUGGCGGGCCUUCCUGCAUGUACUAUCAAGCCUCUACAACUGAUCCAGAAUGCAGCAGCGAGGGUUGUCUUCAAUGAGCCAAAAACAGCUCAUGUUACUCCUCUCCUCAUCAGGUUACACUGGCUACCAGUAGCCGCUCGCAUCAAAUUCAAGGUACUGAUGCUUGCCUACAAGACGACCACUGGCACAGCACCAACAUACCUAAGCUCAUUAGUUCAAUCUUAUGAGCCCUCCAGAAGUUUGCGCUCUGCAAGUGAAUGGUGCCUUGUGGUGCCAUCCCAAAGAGGUUCAAAAUCACUCUCACAGACCUUUUCCUGGACUGUGCCCAGCUGGUGGAAUGACCUCCCGAUCUCAAUUCACAGAUACCAUUUAAACUGAACUGAGCUGCAUGAUGACAUCACUGAAUUCAAUGAUGAACUGCCUUUAACUGUCAUUUUGUAUUAUUGACACACUGUUUUCCUAAUUAAUGUUGUUCAGUUGCUUUGACGCAAUCUUUUUUGUUUAAAGCGCUAUAUAAAUAAAGAUGACUCAAUUCGAACAGCUGAGUCUUUACUCAUCUUCAAAAAACAUCUAAAGACACAUCUGUUUAGCCAGCUCUUGACCAACUAAUACUAGCACUUACCUUUUCUUUUCUUGUCUA